rnacentral:rRNA from 1 species
UACAGAGGGUGCGAGCGUUGUCCGGAAUCACUGGGCGUAAAGGGCGCGUAGGUGGUGGCUUAAGCGUGCGGUGAAAGCUCGGGGCUCAACUCCGAGUCGGCCGUGCGAACUGGGCUCACUGGAGCAUAGUAGAGGCAGGUGGAAUUCCGGGUGUAGCGGUGGAAUGCGUAGAGAUCGGGAAGAACAUCGGUGGCGAAGGCGGCCAGCUGGGCCGUUGCUGACGCUGAGGCGCGACAGCGUGGGGAGCAAACAGG